rnacentral:sRNA from 1 species
GCCAGGCGUGGUGGCGCAGGCCUGUACUCUCAGCAACUCGGGAGGCUGAGACAGGAGGAUCUCAAGUUCAAAGCCAGCUUCAGCAAAGGUUAGGUGCUAAGCAACUCAGUGAGACCUGUCUCUA